CGCCUAAAAGCUAGCCUAACCACCCAGACCAACAACCACACAUAAAUAGCCUGAUAAAAUCCACAUAGAACCAUCAAAACAUUUUCCCGCCCAAGUACAGGAGAUAGAAAAGGAACAAGUAGAGCAACAGAUAAAGUACCGCAAGGGAAUGCUGAAAGAGAAAUGAAACAACCCAUAAAAGCCUAAAGAAGCAGAGAUUAAACCUCGUACCUUUUGCAUCAUGUUUUAGCCAGUAUAUUCAAGCAAAAAGUAUUAUAGUUUGACACCCCGAAACUAGGUGAGCUACUCCAAGGCAGCCCGUAAAAGGGGCACACCCGUCUCUGUGGCAAAAGAGUGGGAAGACCUUCGAGUAGAGGUGACAGACCUACCGAACCUAGUUAUAGCUGGUUGCCUAAAAAAUGAAUAGAAGUUCAGCCUCUUGGAUUUUCCAUUCCCUAAAGUCAACUUAUAUUGAUUAAGAGAAGCCAUGAGAGUUAGUCAAAGGAGGUACAGCUCCUUUGAAAAAGAUACAACUUUGGAAGGAGGGUAAAGAUCACAGUAAUACAAGGACUAUAUAUUUUGGUGGGCCUAAAAGCAGCCACCCAGACAGAAAGCGUUAAAGCUCAUAUAUAAUUAAUACCCAUUAUUCUGAUAAUAAUAUCUAAACCCCCUAUCCAUAUUAGGCCCUCCCAUACAUAAAUGGAAGUGAUUAUGCUAAUAUGAGUAAUAAGAGAACCCAAGGUUCUCUCCACGCACAAGUGUAUGUCGGAACGGACCCACCACCGACCAUUAACGAACCCAACUCAAGAGGGAACUGAGCACUAAAUUAAACAACUAGAAAACCACUCAGCACUUAACGUUGAGCCCACACUGGUGUGCUAAUCCGGAAAGACUAAAAGAAAGGGAAGGAACUCGGCAAAUAAAAGCCUCGCCUGUUUACCAAAAACAUCGCCUCUUGCAAGAUAAGAAUAAGAGGUCCCGCCUGCCCUGUGACUAUAAGUUUAACGGCCGCGGUAUUUUGACCGUGCGAAGGUAGCGCAAUCACUUGUCUCUUAAAUGGAGACCUGUAUGAAUGGCACGACGAGGGCUUAACUGUCUCCCCUUUCCAGUCAGUGAAAUUGAUCUCCCCGUGCAGAAGCGGGGAUAACUACAUAAGACGAGAAGACCCUAUGGAGCUUUAGACAUCAAGGCGGACCAUGUUAAGACCCCCAGUCAAGAGGAUAAACUUAUUGGAACCCACCCCCCUGUCUUCGGUUGGGGCGACCACGGGGAAAAGCAAAACCCCCGCGCGGAAUGGGAGGAAGUCCUCCUAAAGCCGAGAGCCACCGCUCUAAGAAUCAGAAAUUCUGACCAUAAUGAUCCGGCAAAGCCGAUCAACGAACCAAGUUACCCUAGGGAUAACAGCGCAAUCCCCUUUUAGAGUCCAUAUCGACAAGGGGGUUUACGACCUCGAUGUUGGAUCAGGACAUCCUAAUGGUGCAGCCGCUAUUAAGGGUUCGUUUGUUCAACGAUUAAAGUCCUACGUGAUCUGAGUUCAGACCGGAGUAAUCCAGGUCAGUUUCUAUCUAUGAAAUAAUCUUUCUCUAGUACGAAAGGACCGAGAAAGAGGGGCCCAUACCUAAGGUACGCCUCAACCCCACCCACUGAAGUCAACUAAAGAGGGCAAGGGGUCAUAAAAAGUUGCCUAAAAGAAAGGCAU
rnacentral:rRNA from 1 species